CUGUGUUGGAAUCGUCUAGGUAACGCCAGCAACGAGGACCUGGACAAGUUCAGCGAGCGUUACAUCGACCCGGAGGACGAGGACCAGCAGGAGGACACGGGGGGGCGGCGGGAGGGACAGGAAGUGACCGUUACCAUGGCAACGACCUCGAGGACCACAGAGCAGGGCUGGGUGGACGGUCGUAACUCCGCAUCACUUCCUGUUUCUCUGGACAUGAAGACGCUGGUCUGGGUGAUCCUGAUCAGCCUGAACUUGCAGCUACAACACACACUGUGACACACACAGACACAGCAGCUGACGAUCGGUUGGAUCCUGGCUAGCAUGAUCUGAGGGGGGGGGGGCGCCUCUGUGACCUCUAACCUCUGCGGAGAGGAGCCCCGGCUUCCCUCAGCGUGGGCUUCCAGGCGGACCAGCUCAGCCAAUCACAGAGCGUUCACAGUUUACUGCACUGAGAGUCACAAACUCUUCUCAUUAAUAUCAAACUACAUCACGUUUAUCACCUUUUCACUGUUUUAUUUAAACAUGCAAGUUCAAACAGAACCAAGAUCUUCUCUCCACGGAGAGAUCGUCUAUAAAAAUAUAUAUAUGGAAGUUCAUUAACGACAAAACUGUUGAGUGAGAGCAAAAUAAAAUCAGACUUCAGCGAAGCUGAACAAGUCGAGACUCAACAAGGAAUUCACAGAGAAAGCGACUCUAAAAAUGAAGUAAAUUACAUUUUAAAUGUCAACAUCUGAAUUCAAAUCAAAUGAUUUAUUAUGAAUAUCAUGUUUGUAUUCUCCCACUCCGAAUAAAUACUACUUUUUAUCCGGACGUGGAAGUUCUACUGCAGUCCUGUUUUGUUGUUAAUGAACUUCCACAUUUGUUUUCAUCAGAAAACAUUUCAUUUAGAACUGUAUUUAUUAUGUUGAACUUCUUGUUGACAUGGACUUUUAAAAAAUAUAUAUAUGUAUACAGUCAAAUAUUAAAAGAAAAAGAAGAGAAUUCAGGCUCAUAUUAGAAACUUUGUUUAAACUUUACUUGAAGGUAUCUACAUAAGAGUGACAUGACACUGUCCUGAAUGUGUCAUAAACAUUAUAAACAAGUCCUAAACGUUUAUGACAUAACACUGC